rnacentral:rRNA from 4 species
AAAUUGAAGAGUUUGAUCAUGGCUCAGAUUGAACGCUGGCGGCAGGCCUAACACAUGCAAGUCGAACGGUAACAGGAAGCAGCUUGCUGCUUUGCUGACGAGUGGCGGACGGGUGAGUAAUGUCUGGGAAACUGCCUGAUGGAGGGGGAUAACUACUGGAAACGGUGGCUAAUACCGCAUAACGUCGCAAGACCAAAGAGGGGGACCUUCGGGCCUCUUGCCAUCAGAUGUGCCCAGAUGGGAUUAGCUUGUUGGUGAGGUAACGGCUCACCAAGGCGACGAUCCCUAGCUGGUCUGAGAGGAUGACCAGCCACACUGGAACUGAGACACGGUCCAGACUCCUACGGGAGGCAGCAGUGGGGAAUAUUGCACAAUGGGCGCAAGCCUGAUGCAGCCAUGCCGCGUGUAUGAAGAAGGCCUUCGGGUUGUAAAGUACUUUCAGCGGGGAGGAAGGUGUUGCGGUUAAUAACCGCAGCAAUUGACGUUACCCGCAGAAGAAGCACCGGCUAACUCCGUGCCAGCAGCCGCGGUAAUACGGAGGGUGCAAGCGUUAAUCGGAAUUACUGGGCGUAAAGCGCACGCAGGCGGUCUGUCAAGUCGGAUGUGAAAUCCCCGGGCUCAACCUGGGAACUGCAUUCGAAACUGGCAGGCUUGAGUCUUGUAGAGGGGGGUAGAAUUCCAGGUGUAGCGGUGAAAUGCGUAGAGAUCUGGAGGAAUACCGGUGGCGAAGGCGGCCCCCUGGACAAAGACUGACGCUCAGGUGCGAAAGCGUGGGGAGCAAACAGGAUUAGAUACCCUGGUAGUCCACGCCGUAAACGAUGUCUACUUGGAGGUUGUGCCCUUGAGGCGUGGCUUCCGGAGCUAACGCGUUAAGUAGACCGCCUGGGGAGUACGGCCGCAAGGUUAAAACUCAAAUGAAUUGACGGGGGCCCGCACAAGCGGUGGAGCAUGUGGUUUAAUUCGAUGCAACGCGAAGAACCUUACCUGGUCUUGACAUCCACAGAACUUUCCAGAGAUGGAUUGGUGCCUUCGGGAACUGUGAGACAGGUGCUGCAUGGCUGUCGUCAGCUCGUGUUGUGAAAUGUUGGGUUAAGUCCCGCAACGAGCGCAACCCUUAUCCUUUGUUGCCAGCGGUUAGGCCGGGAACUCAAAGGAGACUGCCAGUGAUAAACUGGAGGAAGGUGGGGAUGACGUCAAGUCAUCAUGGCCCUUACGACCAGGGCUACACACGUGCUACAAUGGCGCAUACAAAGAGAAGCGACCUCGCGAGAGCAAGCGGACCUCAUAAAGUGCGUCGUAGUCCGGAUUGGAGUCUGCAACUCGACUCCAUGAAGUCGGAAUCGCUAGUAAUCGUGGAUCAGAAUGCCACGGUGAAUACGUUCCCGGGCCUUGUACACACCGCCCGUCACACCAUGGGAGUGGGUUGCAAAAGAAGUAGGUAGCUUAACCUUCGGGAGGGCGCUUACCACUUUGUGAUUCAUGACUGGGGUGAAGUCGUAACAAGGUAACCGUAGGGGAACCUGCGGUUGGAUCACCUCCUUA